rnacentral:rRNA from 1 species
UGGGGAAUAUUGCACAAUGGACGGAAGUCUGAUGCAGCGACGCCGCGUGGGGGAUGAAGGCUUUCGGGUUGUAAACUCCUUUCAGUACAGAAGAAGCUUUAUUGUGACGGUAUGUGCAGAAGAAGCGCAGGCUAACUACGUGCCAGCAGCCGCGGUAAUACGUAGGGCGCGAGCGUUGUCCGGAAUUAUUGGGCGUAAAGAGCUCGUAGGCGGUUUGUCGCGUCUGCUGUGAAAGACCGGGGCUUAACUCCGGGGCUGCAGUGGGUACGGGCAGGCUGGAGUGCGGUAGGGGUAACCGGAAUUCCUGGUGUAGCGGUGGAAUGCGCAGAUAUCAGGAGGAACACCGAUGGCGAAGGCGACUUACUGGGCUCAUUCUGACGCUGAGGAACGAAAGCGUGGGUAGCAAACAGG